AGGUCCUUUGGAAGAUGAGGAUGAAGCUCUUGUGAAUGGAAUUCGUGACCUUAUAGAAGAAGCCCAAGAGAGCUGCCUUGUCCUUUUUACCACGUGAGGACACAGCAAGAAGGUGCCGUCUGUGAACCAGGAAGCAAGCUCUCACUAGAUUUGGAAUCUGCCGAUGCCUCCGUCUUGGACUUCCCAGCCUCUGGGACAGGGAAGGAGUGACAGCUUCCAAACUGUUGAUCUGUCAGUGCUGAAACCAGCAGGUCCCUUCAGCGAGGGCCAAAUGAG
rnacentral:lncRNA from 10 species